CCUUAGCCUUCUCAGGGUCUGUAGGAAACCGCAAACGUAAAGGCAAAAGUCACACGUACUGAAGGCUUCUCAGCAGAGGAGCUCAACUGAAGGGCUAAAUAAGAGCAAGCACGCGGGUGGCACACUGAAAUGUCGUAGAAGGCAGGAAGCCCCGCUACUAUGAACCUACAACUCUGCUUUCGCGGCUGACGCAUCGCUCCUGCCCGCACGCGCUUGGGGCCGUGCCAAGAGCACCGGGCAGCCCUCGCCAGGCACCUCCCGGGCUCCUCCGCCUCCCCAGCGCGCCCUACACCUGACAGCCGAGUUCUAAACAGGGAGGAAAGCUCCCUCUAAAUGACUGGUUUGCCAAUCCCAGAGCAUGCUGGCAAAGAGAAAAAGCCCAACGAGCAUCAGGACUUCAGAGGACUGAACCACAAGUCUUGCCCCUCACCCAGUUUUCACGCAGAGGAAGGCGAUCAUACACAACUGGAACAAACGAACUGAGCACAUGGCCGUGGCAAUUCUCAUUGUUCCUAUUUUUAAUCGGGUCACAGAUCAAUAGAAUUGUGGAUUUUGAAGAAUUGUAAAGCUAAAUCAUGAAAAUGAAAUCACAAUUCAGGCGGGGUGCAGUGGCUCAUGCCUGUAAUCCCAGGAGUUUGAGAGGCCAAGGCAGGUGGAUCAUUAGGUCAGUAGAUCGAGACCUGCUGACCAACAUGGUGAAACCCCUCCUCUACUAAAAAUACUGGCCAACAUGGUGAAACCCCUCCUCUACUAAAAAUACUGGCCAACGUGGUGAAACCCCUCCUCUACUAAAAAUACUGGCCAACGUGGUGAAACCCCUCCUCUACUAAAAAUACUGGCCAACGUGGUGAAACCCCUCCUCUACUAAAAAUGCUGGCCAACGUGGUGAAACCCCUCCUCUACUAAAAAUACUGGCCAACGUGGUGAAACCCCUCCUCUACUAAAAAUACUGGCCAAAGUGGUGAAAACCCUCCUCUACUAAAAAUACUGGCCAACAUGGUGAACCCCCUCCUCUACUAAAAAUACAAAAAUUAGCCAGGUGUGGUGGUGUGCACCUGUAGUCCCAGCUAUUCAGGAGGCUGAGGCAGGAGAAUCACUUAAACUCAGGAGGCAGAGGCUGCAGUGAGCUGAGAUCCUGCUGCAGUGCUCCAGCCUGGGCGACAGAGCAAGACUCUGUCUCAAAAAAAAAAAAGGAAAUCACAAUUCAGAUACAAGGCAUAGAUUUAAUUAAAUGUAUAUGGAUCAUUCUUGAAGUUCCUAGAGUUACCUAUAAAGGGCAAUUAUCAGAUUUGGCUUAUCACACAUCAAUCUUAUCAGCAUGGUUCAAUUUCAGAAGAAAUGUAUUAAGCUGAAAUUAGAUUGUGCCCCCCAAGAAGACUUAGUAACUAUGCACUUUUGGAAAUGAAUAUAUAAAUUCCAGAACUGUUCAGCAGUUUAGUGAAAAAUGUCUGGUCCCUGAUUGUACAUUUUCUUUUGUGACAUCAUUAAGACAGAAGCCGAGUGUCACUAUAAAUUAUGUAAACCGCCAGGCACGGUGGCUCACACCUGUAAUCCCAGCACUUUGGGAAGCCAAGGCGGGUAGAUCCCGAGAUCAGGAGUUUGAGACCAACCUGACCAACAUGUUGAAACCUGAUCCCUCCUAAAAAUACAAAUAUUAGCCAGGUCUGGUGGCGGGCAUCUAUAAUCCCAGCUACUCAGGGGGCUGAGGCAGGAGAAUCACUUGAACCCAGGAGGUGGAGGUUGCAGUGAGCCAAGAUUGUGCCAUUGCACUCCAGCCUGGGUGACAGAGCAAGACUCCAUCUCAAAAAAUAAUAAUAAUAAAAUAAAUAAAUAAAGCUUCAGUCAGAGUAAUUCAAUCUGUACAGGACAAUAUUCUCAUUGUCAUUAUUACAAUUGGUGAGUGAUUAGCAUGAGACCUAUGACUUAAUGUAAGCCCCAUGAGAGCAGGGACCUCAUGCAGUGCUCCAGCCUGAGAUAUGGAAGCUGCUCAACAUACAUUUAGUUUUCUAAUUUUUAUUUUGAAUUAUAGUUAAUUCCUGAACAGCAUGGGUUUGAACUGUGUGGGUCCACUUAUAUGGAAAUUUUCUUCCACCUCUGCCACCCCUGAGACACCAAGACCAACCACUCCCUUCAUCUUCCUCCUCAACCCACUCAAUGUGAAGACCAUGAGGAUAAAGAGCUUUAUGAUGAUCCACUUCCACUAAAUGAAUUGGAAAUAUAGUUUCUCUUCCUUAUGAUGUCUUAAUAACAUCUGAGUCUCAUCACGUUCCAAAAUUUACUGAUUUGAUAAAUGAUGAUAUACAUAUGAAAGAGUCUCAUUCUUGCAUUCCCCUAUGAAAAACAGAUAGGAAACUAGAGUACAAUAUUUGUGUCUAGCUCAUUUUGCCUUUUCCUUUACAAUAUACCAUCAAAAUACUGUUUUCCAAA